UACGUAGGAUACAGGCGUUAAUCGGAAUUACUGGGCGUAAAGCGUGCGCAGGCGGUCUUUUAAGUCAGAUGUGAAAUCCCCGGGCUUAACCUGGGAACUGCGUUUGAAACUGGAAGGCUUGAGUGUGGCAGAGGGGGGUGGAAUUCCACGUGUAGCAGUGAAAUGCGUAGAGAUGUGGAGGAACACCGAUGGCGAAGGCAGCCCCCUGGGCUAACACUGACGCUCAUGCACGAAAGCGUGGGGAGCAAACAGG
rnacentral:rRNA from 1 species